rnacentral:lncRNA from 1 species
UCUCUUACAAGUGAUGUUGGUUUAAAGCUUCUUUUUUAUUUAGGCUUGAAAAAAGUAGGUAAGGUAAGUAAUACUUAGGACUGGACGAUAGUAAAGGUAGCACAAGGAUAAGCGAAAAUGGUGGUACUUGGGACGUUAGGGAAAUGAGGAUCCGAUUCCACCCCCUCACUUUGCAGCUGAGGAGACUUCCAGACAAACAGGGCAAACUAAAGGUCAUAGAUUGAGCAUUUUCCGAGACUCCCCACUACCCAACUCCCCAUGUGACUGGAGUGGAAGGAGGCUCAAAGCAAGCGCAGAAAUGGCUCUUGCAGUGGUUCCCAUUGUGGCUCUGUAGGUUACAAACCUGACUAGUAUCCAUGAGGAUUCGGGUUGGAUCCUUGGCCUCGCUCAGUGGGUUAAAGAUCCAGUGUUGCCGUAAGCUACAGUGUAGGUCGCAGAUGUGGCUUGGAUCCUGUGUUGCUGUGGCUGUGGGGCGUAGGUAGGCAGCUGUAGCUCUGAUUUGACCCCAGCCUGGGAACUUCCAUUUGUCAUGGGUGCGACCCUUUAAAAAAAAGUAUAAAGAAUAAAAUUCAUUGAAUAAUUUUUAAAAUUCAAUGAGUAAUUAAAAAUAAAAGUUUUCACAGAAUAGUCAAAAUGUGAGAAAAUUAUAUAAUAUACUGUGAAAUAAAAUGCUACAUGAAAUAUCAAAAAAACGCUCUUGCCAAAGCAGCCUGGGCAGGUUCUCUGGGCGUCAUCUGAUUGGGGAAGAGGGUCAUGAAGGACUUUUGAGGGAGAGGCAGGGGCCAUAGACCAGGAAGUGGAGAGCUACCUGGGGCAGAGGUGGGAGGGAGGGGAGUCCUGCUGCAGGGAUGGGCAGAAUAAAGACAGCGUAGUGCCAGGAUGAAUGAAGGCUCUGAAUUGGGAAAGAAGCAGAGACAGGUUCAGCAGAGCCCUGAAUGCCUCAGGGAGGAGUUUGCUGCUUCUCUGAUGGCCCCUGGGAGCCAUUGAGAGUCGUAGAGCAGGAGCACCAUUCUGGGAGAAAUAACCAGUGGCCAUCACCAGGGGCUGGGAGAGGUCUGAGCCAAACAUGCAGAUUUGAGAGCCCCUCCAAAGAGGGGCCAAGGAGUUGACAGGGUGGCCUAGAGAGAGGAAGAAAGGGCCAAGGAGAAGUCAUCAGGCACACCUGCCUUUAGGAAGUGGGAGGAGGAUGAACAGCCAUCAGAGAGGCAAGAGGAGAGGCAGGAGAGUGGAGGAGCUGAAACCGUGAGAGGCCAGAGGGAUGAAAGGAGCAGAGAGCCAGUGCCCAGGCGGCACCAAGUCCGGAGUGGUGGAGCUGGUGCUUGCAUGAGGUGGGGCAGGUUGCAGCCACAGGGUUUCCCCAGUGACAGAAUAUUGAUUUGUUGGCCCCCAAAAUAACAGUUGUCACUCCAAGACAUUGUUUGACUGUCCCUAGGGACUUCUGCUUGGAGAGGCCCGGCCUCUUACCAGCUGUGUGGCUUUGGGCAAAUCACUUUACCUUUCUCUGAACCUCAGUUCCCACCUCUCUAAAAUAGGGAUAAGAACACCGACUUCAUGAGUUGUUGUAAAGAUUAAUGGGAACGGUAUGCAUAAAGUACUUAACAGGUGCCUGGUGGAGGACUAGUGUUCUCAGAUGGAAUUUCUUGGUUGUACCACAACAGAUGAUCAGCGUGCACAUGCUGUGUGCCAGGCUCUGUGCUAGGAACCAACAUACAGCCCUGGGUGAGGGCCACAUCUGCCCUCGAGGAGCUCAUAGGCCUGAGCAACUGACUCUAAGCAUUCUGGAUAACUACCACCCCCACUCCCAGCACAGGCCCAUUUUGCCAGCACUCUAGCCCCUGAGAUUUUUCCCAGGAACUCAUAUUAAAAUAGUUCUCCACUGCCACCUUGCUUUAACAGACAAAACCCAAGCCUCAGGGAUGUGUCUGUGGGUGAGGGCGUGGUUGGUCUCCAAGGGUCCUCUUCCUGGAACUCGACCUUCACCCAGAGUGCCUGCUGCCAGUUGGGGUGCUUGCACUGGGGAGAAAGAGUUAAGGAUGUGAGGGAGCCGUCAUCCUGCUGCAUAUCUGUCUUUUACAAUGUUCUCAUCAGGGCACCCAUCUCACGAGGUCCCAGGGCCUGGAGAGGGAUGCGUAUCCGUGCACAUGGGAGGCUUGGAACAGACUCAGCCCACAGCAGGGAAAUAAAUCUGUAACUGCACAUUGGGGUGAGAGCCACAAGGAAAAGGAGUCUCUUGCGUGCUGGGGGAAGGGAGGUUGUGUGUGGUGUGUUCCGGUUGAGACCUAAAGGUUGAGAAGGAGUAGAGAAUUCCAGGCACAGGCAAUAGUACAGGUGAAGGCCCAGAGGCAUGUUAAGACCUUACCAGUGGUUCUGAAACAGGUGGAGGAGACUGUGGACCACAGGGCAGAGUUGGAUUCUAAGAGUUGAAGCCCCUAAAGGGCUUUAAGUGGUACACUGUUAAAAGUUGUUAUGUAUUUAUUCCAUAAUAUUUACUGUUUUCCUUUAUUUCAGCAAAAUCAUUAUAUUGUUAUAAACAGAAUCAUUGCAUACUUUGUGUUCUAUUUUCAGUAAUGCCAGAUGACAAAACAUUUCUUGGGUCAUUGUAGCUCUUGGUUUUAAUUUGGAGACACUUUGCUCUUCUGAGGCAGAGCAAGAUUCUCACAGCAACACUUAAAUUCAGAAGUGAAUCAUGAAUUUUGUGUAUCAUGCUCAAACGUUGCAGUGGGGUCACAUAGGAUAAAUAAGAGCUCCUGCAGAUAUAUUACACAUAUAUUAAUUUCAUCAUGUGAUUGUGAUCAGUUUCUGAAAACAGCUUUAUUGAGGUAGAAUUGACAUACAGUGAGUUGCACAUAUUUCGACUGUACCAUUCGAUGAGGUUUGAUAUAUGUAUAUGCCUGUGAAACUAUCACUUUAAGGUCUCCAACAUCCAUCACUCCCCACCUUCAUAAGGGAGCAUACAUUUAUGUAUUUAUUUAUGCUUUUCAUUUAUUUUAUUUUUUAGGGCCACACCCACAGCAUAUGGAAGUUCCCAGGCUAGGGGUCGAAUCAGAGCUACAGCUGCUGGCUUACACCAUAGCCACAGUAAUGUGGGAUCUGAGCCGUGUCUGCAACCUACACCACAGUUCGUGGCAACACCAGAUCCUUAACCCAUUGAUCAAGGCCAGGGAUCGAACCAGUAUCCUCACGGAUACUAACUGGGUUCUUUACACUGAGCCACAACAGAAACUUCAGGAGUGUCCUAUUAAAAGACAACCAGUCAGCUGCUAAGCUGGGUCCAGAAGCCUGUUCUACUGUCUCCUAAUUCGGUCCUUUCCAAGAACCCUUGGCUCUGAUGCUGGCUCUGCCAUUCCCUAGCUGUGUGGCCUUGGGCAAGUUACUUAACGUGGCUGCUUCAUCUGUAAAAGAGUACCAGCCACACAGGGCUGUGAAGCAUAGGUAAGGUCAUAUAUAUGAUUAUACCCACACACACAUAUUAUACAAGAAGGGGAGCCCUUAGGACCCCAGGCCCAGCAGGCAGUAAAUAUCGGCCGUUGUUACUUGAUGCAAAGAGCUCUGUAGACGCAUCUGCCUAGAAGUAUCGCAUUGGGAAAUACAAAGAGCCCAGUAGGAUGGAAGGCUGAAAGCCUCUUUCUCCAGGGGAAUUGAGCUGAGACAUUCACCUCGAUGACGCCACUCUUGGGGAUGUCCGUGUUUUAGUUAAUGCUACACUUAUUUGACAGUUUCUUCAGAUCCUUCCGUGUCUUGUCUCAUGUUAAGUAUGUUUCCUAGCAAAUGACAGACUAUCCCAGACCAGGAGGGAGCAGUGGGCUUCACCGUGUGACACUUAAGCUGUCACCAGCUCCUCUCUCCUCCCCAUUACCGGAGGCUGUGGAUGGUGCUCAGCAAAACCUCCCAGAUCUGUUCUCUGACUUAAGACAAGCCCUUGCCCUCCUCUCUCAUCCUUCUCCUUCCAUGCCAGCUACUUAUGCAGCAGCUAGAAAUUGAAAUUUCCAGAUCCCCAGUUCUGUUCAACUCAUAGCUCUGCUCUAAAAUUUUCAUAGAAUAAUCAAAUUCUUUCCCUUGGCAUUGAAGUUUCUUCAGGGUCCAAAACUGGAUCACCCUUCUUGGCUCCAGGUCAGAACCCUUAUGUGCACUGUCAGGAUAGCGCACUGCUGUUCACCAGCUCAGGACCAGGAAGAAUUAGCCUGUAAUCCAUUCCGAAGCAGAGACGCCACAAUUCUAUUGUGAUGAUGGGGGAGUAACAUUUAAAGAAACAUGGACAUCUAAGCAGCUGGCUUUGAGUUGUUCUCAGGAUGGGCACCAUCUUUGGAAAAAUAUGUUAGUAAACACAUUAGAGUGGAGUUUGCAAUUCUAAGGGCAGAGCCUUAAGAGAUGAUGGCAAAUUGCCUGGUGUGAGACAGAGGGGGAAUUUAUGUCCUGAGAAAGAAGUGUGGGGGCGAAUGAGAAGAGAGGAGGGAGGCGAGCUGGCGGGAUGGAGAGCAGCUUGGAUGAAGGGCUGGGAGCACCCCGUCUCAUCUCCACCCCACCCCGUGUUUGUUGGGCUAAACUCAAACAUUUUGGGGGGAGUGAGGGUACGUGCAAUGCAUGUGUGGCAGGGGGUGGGGGCAGGUAAGGUAGAUCUGAAAGGAGGAGCUGAGCAUAUGCAAAUAAGACCGUAAAUCCUUAGCCUCUGGGAAGGUGUAGAAAUUAUGGGAGAGCUCUGGAGUGCUACAGGCUGUUGAGCUUGGGGGAUCUGAGCCUAUUUUACCUACUUUGAUGAUCUUCUGGUUCCAUGUAUAAUUAUUAUUGUCAUUACAAAAAAAAUAUAAAAAGAUACUCCCUCCUAGGAGAAGCAG